GUGCUCACUUUGGCAGAACUUAUACUAAAACUGGAAUGAUACAGAGGAAAUUAGCACGACCCCUAUGCGAAGANGACACACAAAUUUGUGAAGUGUUCCAUUUUUAA
rnacentral:snRNA from 1 species